GACGAACGCUGGCGGCGUGCUUAACACAUGCAAGUCGAACGAAGAGCGAUGGAAGCUUGCUUCUAUCAAUCUUAGUGGCGAACGGGUGAGUAACGCGUAAUCAACCUGCCCUUCAGAGGGGGACAACAGUUGGAAACGACUGCUCAUACCGCAUACGAUCUAAUCUCGGCAUCGAGGAUAGAUGAAAGGUGGCCUCUACAUGUAAGCCAUCACUGAAGGAGGGGAUUGUGUCUGAUUAGCUAGUUGGAGGGGUAACGGCCCACCAAGGCGAUGAUCAGUAGGCGGUCGGAGAGGAUGGACGGCCCCAAUGGGACGGAGACACGGCCCAGACUCCUACGGGAGGCAGCAGUGGGGAAUCUUCCGCAAUGGACGGAAGUCUGACGGAGCAACGCCGGGGGAGCGAUGACGGCCUUCGGGUUGGAAAGCUCUGUUAAUCGGGACGAAAGGCCUUCUUGCGAAUAGUGAGAAGGAUUGACGGUACCGGAAUAGAAAGCCACGGCUAACUACGUG
rnacentral:rRNA from 1 species